UAGAGUUUGAUCCUGGCUCAGGAUGAACGCUAGCGGCAGGCCUAACACAUGCAAGUCGAGGGGUAGAGGGUGCUUGCACCCUUGAGACCGGCGCACGGGUGCGUAACGCGUAUGCAACCUACCUAUUGCAGGGGAAUAGCCCAGGGGAACUUGGAUUAAUGCCCCAUAGUCCAUAUUGAGAGCAUUCGAUAUAUGGUAAAGGUUUAUCGGCAAUAGAUGGGCAUGCGUCCCAUUAGCUAGUUGGUAUGGUAACGGCAUACCAAGGCUACGAUGGGUAGGGGCCCUGAGAGGGGGAUCCCCCACACUGGUACUGAGACACGGACCAGACUCCUACGGGAGGCAGCAGUGAGGAAUAUUGGACAAUGGGCGGGAGCCUGAUCCAGCCAUGCCGCGUGCAGGAAGACUGCCCUAUGGGUUGUAAACUGCUUUUUUACGGGAAGAAACACCCCCACGUGUGGGGGCUUGACGGUACCGUACGAAUAAGGACCGGCUAACUCCGUGCCAGCAGCCGCGGUAAUACGGAGGGUCCGAGCGUUAUCCGGAAUCAUUGGGUUUAAAGGGUCCGUAGGCGGGCGUCUAAGUCAGUGGUGAAAUCUCGCGGCUCAACCGUGAAAUUGCCAUUGAUACUGGUCGCCUUGAAUUAGUGUGAAGUGGCUAGAAUAUGUAGUGUAGCGGUGAAAUGCUUAGAUAUUACAUAGAAUACCGAUUGCGAAGGCAGGUCACUAACACUAUAUUGACGCUGAUGGACGAAAGCGUGGGGAGCGAACAGGAUUAGAUACCCUGGUAGUCCACGCCGUAAACGAUGGAUACUAGCUGUCCGGCCUGCAUUGGUAGGCUGGGUGGCCAAGCGAAGGUGAUAAGUAUCCCACCUGGGGAGUACGUUCGCAAGAAUGAAACUCAAAGGAAUUGACGGGGGCCCGCACAAGCGGUGGAGCAUGUGGUUUAAUUCGAUGAUACGCGAGGAACCUUACCAGGGCUUAAAUGUAGUCUGACAGGGGUGGAAACACCCCCUUCUUCGGACAGACUGCAAGGUGCUGCAUGGUUGUCGUCAGCUCGUGCCGUGAGGUGUCAGGUUAAGUCCUAUAACGAGCGCAACCCCUGUCGUUAGUUGCCAGCAUGUAAAGAUGGGAACUCUAACGAGACUGCCGGUGCAAACCGUGAGGAAGGUGGGGAUGACGUCAAAUCAUCACGGCCCUUACGUCCUGGGCCACACACGUGCUACAAUGGCAGGUACAAUGGGCAGCCACGCCGCAAGGCGGAGCGAAUCCACAAAACCUGUCUCAGUUCGGAUCGGGGUCUGCAACUCGACCCCGUGAAGCUGGAAUCGCUAGUAAUCGGAUAUCAGCCAUGAUCCGGUGAAUACGUUCCCGGGCCUUGUACACACCGCCCGUCAAGCCAUGGAAGCUGGAAGCACCUGAAGUCCGUCACCGCGAGGAGCGGCCUAGGGUGAAGCUGGUAACUGGGGCUAAGUCGUAACAAGGUAACCA
rnacentral:rRNA from 1 species